ensembl:lncRNA
CGAGAACAACACCUCCCCACAGUUGGAGCCAGGCCGGUCUUCUGAGAGACCAGCCUGCAUCAGGCCAGGCCGGGAUGGCCAGAGAAGAAGCUAUGGUGUUUGCUAUGUGUGGUUUCACAUGUCUCACUGCGCUGGCAUGGCCAACAGGCCUCACGGCAGAUGGGUUGGUUCUACUGAAGCCUACGAGACUUCGAAGAGGUCAAUCAGCAGCUCAACUCAUCGACCCUAAACACAGCCUUGGCCUUUGAGCCGUACCGCACCUUGGCAACCAGCGCCGCUGCUGAGCGGCAGCAGCACAACAUCUUGUUCUCGCCAUUGGGCUUAGCGUCAGCUCUGGCGCUGCUGUCCCGGGUUUGUGGUUCCGAGAGUCGGAACCAGACCCUGGAGGCCCUGGGGCUGGCGGCCAAUACUACAGAGGAGAGUGUGGAGGCCACCUUAUCUGCUCUUGCAGAUAUGCAACUCAGCCUGUCUCUACGCGGGGGGGGUGUAGGGUCCAAAGGGUAGAAUCUGGAACUGGAACAGGAGCUGGCAUUGGGGCACCAGCAAGGGUGGAAUUUGUAGGGGAUGAUGCUGCAAACCAAACUGAUGUAGAUGAUUGGGCGGAGGGCCGUCAACCAUUUGAGCGGCGCCACACGGUGCCAAGGAGCUUCCAGCCCAACGCCACCACCACCAGCGUGGAGGUGGCCAUGAUGUUCUAAGGUGAUGAUGCUGUACGACACGGUGGUGCGUCUGGCCCACUCCGAGCGAACUGGCCUCGCCGCUCCUGCUCCCUACAGCUGAGCCGCAGCCCCUGGAGCCUCUCCGACGGACGCAUGGCGCCGCAACCUGAAGCAGUGCGACGAGGAGACUGCAACCUUCCUCAAAUGCGUUCAUGAAACAAACGCAACGUUUCCCACAUCAUUUUCAUCCAUUCAAGGCGGGCAGAAAUCCGUUUCCCUAAGUUCCAACUAAGGAAAUCCUACAGUUUAGACAGGAGGCCUCCUGAGGAACUCUGGGGUGUCAUCGGUUUUCUCGCACUCAGCCGACUUAUCUGGAAUAUCGCAGGAGACUCUGAAACUCGCCAAGGCUCCUCGUGAGGUCAUGCCCGAGGUGGAGGAGAUCCAGUAUGAAGAUGGGGGAGACCUGACAGUUCACCGGACUUCUCUGUUCCCUCGAGGAUCACCUUUAACAGGCCGUUCAUGCUCAUAACCUACGGCCAUCUCACGGGGAGAAUUAUUGAUCCUACAAAUGUCUACAGCGGGGUGAACAGCGUAGCUUUAUUGGGCUUUGCUAUUGAUAUAACACUGCGUUCACUUAUAUUACUCGAUUUGUUUUUCCCCCCCAACAGAAUGGUGUAUCAUUCUGGGGAAAAACAUUUUCCUGCAAUUAUAUCAGCAUGCAGAGUGCUUUGUUUUACCUUCAAUUUUCCAAACCAUUACAGCCUGAUUUACAGUUUCUUUCCCCCCUAUUUGCACAAAAUUAUGAAAAGAAAUUCAAAUUGAAGUAAUUUAUCUGUAUGACUGAAUCGCUUUCUACUCUUGCAAAAGCAUAAAACCCU